rnacentral:rRNA from 1 species
UGAUUAAGCCAUGCGAGUCGAGAGGGUUCGGCCCUCGGCGCACCGCUCAGUAACACGUGGAUAACCUACCCUGGAGUGGGGGAUAAUCUCGGAAACCUGAGGAUAAUACCCCAUAGGCCUUUGAUACUGGAAUGUUCUUAGGCCCCAAAGUUACGGCGCUCCAGGAUGGGUCUGCGGCCUAUCAGGUAGUAGUGAGUGUAAAGGACUCACUAGCCGACAACGGGUACGGGCCAUGGGAGUGGUAGCCCGGAGAUGGAUUCUGAGACACGAAUCCAGGCCCUACGGGGCGCAGCAGGCGCGAAAACUUCGCAAUGCGCGAAAGCGCGACGAGGGGAUUCCAAGUGCAUGCACUUAGUGCAUGCUGUUUGCUAGUCUAAAUAGCUAGUAGAGUAAGGGCUGGGUAAGACUGGUGCCAGCCGCCGCGGUAAUACCAGCGGCCCUAGUGGUGAUCGUUAUUAUUGGGCCUAAAGCGUCCGUAGCCGGCCCGGUAAAUCUCUGGGUAAAUCGUUGGGCUUAACUCAGCGAAUUCUAGGGAGACUGCCGGGCUUGGGACCGGGAGAGGUCGGAGGUACUCCGAGGGUAGGGGUGAAAUCCUGUAAUCCUUGGGGGACCACCGGUGGCGAAGGCGUCCGACCAGAGCGGGUCCGACGGUAAGGGACGAAGCCCUGGGGCGCGAACCGGAUUAGAUACCCGGGUAGUCCAGGGUGUAAACGCUGUGCGCUUGGUGUUGGGGGUCCUUUGAGGGCAUCCAGUGCCGGAGAGAAGUUGUUAAGCGCACCGCCUGGGGAGUACGGUCGCAAGACUGAAACUUAAAGGAAUUGGCGGGGGAGCACCGCAACGGGAGGAGCGUGCGGUUUAWUUGGAUUCAACGCCGUAAAACUCACCAGGGGCGACUGCCAUAUGAAGGCCAAGCUGAUGACUUUGCCUGAUUGGUAGAGAGGUGGUGCAUGGCCAAUG